AUGAGCCUCCUCGACAGGAGCGGCAAGGCGAUCACCUGGUUGAGCGUUCCGAAUGGCACCAUCCACGGCAUCGUGGUGGGGCCGACAACGGCGCGGCAGACGCUGGUGAGGGGGGACCUCGUGGUGCCGGAUGAGGUACCCAGCGAGUUCGCCGAGAGGAUGCGUCCUCGCAGCAGGAAUGGGACGACGUCUGCAGGCCAGGAGAUCAAAGAGGCUGCCGUGCACCUUCGUGGCAUCCUCCAGACCCAGAUCUCCGGGUUCACCUACAGUCACGGCGGCGUCACCGCGUUCCGCUGCUUUCCGGUCACCAUCGGCGUCCCGCCGCUCCACCUGUCUGCAGGCGACGCGCCUUGCGAUAAGGUGCCGCCCUAG
rnacentral:rRNA from 1 species